rnacentral:rRNA from 1 species
GACGAACCGUGCGAACGUUAUUCGGAAUCACUGGGCUUAAAGCGCGUGUAGGCGGGACGGCACGUCGGCCGUUGAAAUCCCCCGGCUCAACCGGGGAAGGGGCGCCGAUACGACCGUCCUGGAGGAACGUAGGGGGAGCUGGAACUUCCGGUGGAGCGGUGAAAUGCGUUGAGAUCGGAGGGAACGCCCGUGGCGAAAGCGAGCUCCUGGACGUUUUCUGACGCUGAGACGCGAAAGCCAGGGGAGCGAACGGG